rnacentral:rRNA from 1 species
UACGAAGGGGGCUAGCGUUGCUCGGAAUCACUGGGCGUAAAGCGCACGUAGGCGGCUUUUUAAGUCAGAGGUGAAAUCCUGGAGCUCAACUCCAGAACUGCCUUUGAUACUGGAGGAUCUUGAGUUCGGGAGAGGUGAGUGGAACUGCGAGUGUAGAGGUGAAAUUCGUAGAUAUUCGCAAGAACACCAGUGGCGAAGGCGGCUCACUGGCCCGGUACUGACGCUGAGGUGCGAAAGCGUGGGGAGCAAACAGG